rnacentral:rRNA from 1 species
GAUGAACGCUAGCUACAGGCUUAACACAUGCAAGUCGAGGGGCAGCAUGAACUUAGCUUGCUAAGUUUGAUGGCGACCGGCGCACGGGUGAGUAACACGUAUGCAACCUGCCCCUGUCAGGGGGACAACCCGCCGAAAGGCGGGCUAAACCCGCGUACAUGCCACCGGGGCAUCCCGGAGGCAGGAAAGGCUUCGGCCGGACAGGGAUGGGCAUGCGGCGCAUUAGGCAGUAGGCGGGGUAACGGCCCACCUAACCGACGAUGCGUAGGGGUUCUGAGAGGAAGGUCCCCCACACUGGUACUGAGACACGGACCAG